AGAAUCAACGCUGGCGGCGUGCCUAACACAUGCAAGUCGCACGAGAAAGGGGAGCAAUCCCUGAGUAAAGUGGCGCACGGGUGAGUAACACGUGAAUCAUCUACCUCCGAGUGGGGAAUAACCUAGAGAAAUCUGGGCUAAUACCGCAUAACACUUACGAGUCAAAGCAGCAAUGCGCUUGGAGAGGAGUUCGCGGCCGAUUAGUUAGUUGGCGGGGUAAUGGCCCACCAAGACGAUGAUCGGUAUCCGGCCUGAGAGGGCGCACGGACACACUGGAACUGAAACACGGUCCAGACUCCUACGGGAGGCAGCAGUGGGGAAUUUUGCGCAAUGGGGGAAACCCUGACGCAGCAACGCCGCGUGGAGGAUGAAAUAUCUUGGUAUGUAAACUCCUUUCGAUGGGAAGAUUAUGACGGUACCAUAGAAGAAGCCCGGCUAACUUCGCGCCAGCAGCCGC
rnacentral:rRNA from 1 species